rnacentral:rRNA from 1 species
GACGUAGGGUCCAAGCGUUGUCCGGAUUUACUGGGCGUAAAGAGCGCGUAGGCGGUCUGUUAAGUGUAGAGUGAAAUCUCCAGGGCUCAACCCGGAAACUGCUCUGCAUACUGGCAGACUUGAGGAAUGCAGAGGUUUGUGGAAAUUCCUGGUGUAGCGGUGAAAUGCGUUGAUAUCAGGAGGAACACCCAUGGCGAAGGCAGCAAACUGGGCAUUAUCUGACGCUGAGGCGCGAAA